rnacentral:rRNA from 1 species
AUACGGAGGAUCCGAGCGUUAUCCGGAUUUAUUGGGUUUAAAGGGUGCGUAGGCGGCCUUUUAAGUCAGCGGUGAAAGUCUGUGGCUCAACCAUAGAAUUGCCGUUGAAACUGGGGGGCUUGAGUAUGUUUGAGGCAGGCGGAAUGCGGGGUGUAGCGGUGAAAUGCAUAGAUAUCACGCAGAACCCCGAUUGCGAAGGCAGCCUGCCAAGCCAUGACUGACGCUGAUGCACGAAAGCGUGGGGAUCAAACAGGAUUAGAUACCCUGGUAGUCCACGCAGUAAACGAUGAUCACUAGCUGUUUGCGAUACACUGUAAGCGGCACAGCGAAAGCGUUAAGUGAUCCACCUGGGGAGUACGCCGGCAACGGUGAAACUCAAAGGAAUUGACGGGG